GAACAGUGAAUACACUCAAAAACUAUUUUGAAUGUUGAGGGAAUGAAUUGAUGGGUAUACUAAUGAAUGAACUAACCUGUUUGAAAUUCCAGAGCUUCUAUAUUUGAGACUUAUGACCUUGGGCAGGUUACCCAAGUUCUCUGAGUCUUAGUUUUCUUAUUUGUAAAACUGGAAAAAUAAUACUCAGUUUACAGGGUUGCUGAGAGAAAUAACAUGAUCUAACAUAUCCAUAGCCCUUAGCACAAUGCCUUAAUAAAGACAAGCUGUCAUAACAGUGAUAGUAGCAGUAUUAAUAUUCAUCGCUGCCAUACUCACAGAAUGGUUGUUCACUGGGGGAGGAGGUGGGUAAAAUGUGGACAUAGAUCUUCAUGGCAGCCAAUGAGAGAUGAACAGAGGAGAAUUGUUGUGGAGUGAAGAGUCUGGACAGGGGUUGUUUUAUGAGGUUUAGGUGAGAGAUUGUACAUGCCUUAACCUUGACAGAGAAGGUAGAAAUGGCUGGGAUGAGGCCUUGGCAAAAUGGGGUCAAUUUGAACCAGUUUCCUGUGGGAAAUCACCAGUGUGUCUGGCUUCAAAGCUCAGGCCAUUUCUACCACAUCAUACUACAUACUCCUACCUAUGUGAAGAAAAGAGGGGGAUAAAUAAAAUGUAGGUCUCUCUCUCUGUGUGUGUGUGUGUGUGCAUGUGUAAAAGGCCUGGAAGGUACUGCCUAGUUGGUAAUGGAGACAAAGUUGUUGGGAGGUAGUCAAAAAGAAGGGUUGGUGUUAAUCAGAGUAAAUUUCUGCCUUUCCCUUCUGGCUGGGCCCAGCCUUACCUCUGGAUGGGAAGCACAGCUGAUAUGCUGCCAUGCUAGGUUCUCUAGCUCAUGCUUUCUGGAGGAAAGCAAUGAUGUUUGCCAUCAUGCAAUCUUAUGCUAUUUUGCAAGCUAAUUUUUACAGCCAUUAGAAUUUACAAAGUACUCGUUGAAAGGGAAUAUAUAACAUGCUUGAAGAGAGAACCAUGAGAGAAAGUUGGUGCCAUGAGUGUAUCUUAUUAGGUGUGUUCUGACAGGCAUUGGGUUAGAUAUUUUACAUACCUUAUAUUUCAUCUGUACAACCCCUCUCUCCAUUUUAUAGAUGAGGACGCUGAGACAUGGAGAGGCUAAGUAAUUUGGUUACUAAGCUGUACAGUCAAGAUUCCAACCUAGACCUUUCUCAAUUCUGAAGCUAUUCUCUGACCAUAUUCUAUAAUGCAUGUGAGGAUGCAAAGCUAAAUGAGCCUUCCACUCUCUGCCUUUGUCUUCUCUCUACAGUUAUCUUGCAUUAUAUGGAAGGGCUAGCUCAGUGAUGGGAAUGGAUGUAUUUAUGGAAAAGAAUCACUUGCUGGCCAGGCAUGGUGGCUCAUGCCUGUAAUCCCAGCACUUAGGGAGGCCAAGGUGGGUGGAUCACGAGGUCAGGAGUUCAAGACCAGCCUGGCCAAGUCUCUACUACAAAAAUUAGCCAGGUGUGGUGGCGAGCACCUGUAAUCCCAGCUGCUUGGGAGGCUGAGGCAGAGAACUGCUUGAACCCAGGAGGCGGAUGUUGCAGUCAGCCGAGAUUGUGCCAUUGUACUCCAGCCUGGACAACAGAGUAAGACUCUGUCUCAAAAAAAAAGAAAAAGAAAAAAGAAAAAA
rnacentral:lncRNA from 1 species